rnacentral:sRNA from 1 species
CUUUAAAAAUCUGGAUCAAGCUGAAAAUUGAAACGACACACAGCUAAUGUGUGUUCGAGUCUCUCAAAUUUUCGCGACACGAUGAUGUU